UGCUCUUGUGCAACAUUUGCGUAGCAGAGUUGAGAGACCAAAAUCUGCUUGGAAUUCUCUGCUGCUCACACAGGAAUAACACACUCACCAUGGAGGUGCACAUGCAUUCUCUUCUCUUUCUGAUGCUGGGUGUGUGCUGUUCAGGGAGAGAACAGAAAGAGGUAUUUGAGAAUAAAAGUUCGGACCUGAAAUCGGUAAAUGGAGAGCCUCCUUAUCUCAACCUGGCAUGUGAAGUUGAUGAAUUCUGAUGGGAACAAGCUCAAGAAAUCAACAUACAAAUUUUUAGGUGGCGCUAGGUCAAAGGACUACCUCAACCCUGAUAUUUCAAAACCUGGUGAAUGGAAGAUUACAGCACAUUACAAAGGUGACUAGAAAAAUGCUGCAGUGGUCCAGAAAUUCAAGGUCCAGAAAUUUGAUAUGGCACAUAUGGCAAGACCAUUGAUGGUGGUUUCCACUGACAGUUUGCAAGAGGGUCUGGCUGCAGACUUGCACUUGCACUCUCAGACUUGCACUCUCAGACACUUGCGCUUCCGCUAGUGACAUCACUUGCAGUCUUUAUUUUAUAUUUUGUUCUAUUU
ensembl:lncRNA